ACUAACUUCAGCAGUAUGUACUAAAAUCUGAACAAUACAAAGAUGAUUAAUGUGAUCCCUGCACAAGGAUGACAUGCAAAUUUGUGAAGCGUUCCACCUCUCA